rnacentral:rRNA from 1 species
CCCUUAGAUGUUCUGGGCUGCACACGUGCUACAAUGAAGCGUCCAACAAGAUGCGAAGCCGAAAGGCUCAGCGGAUCUUUGAAGUCGUUUCGUGACCGGGACAGUUGAUUGCAAUUAUUCGACUCGAACGAGGAAUUCCUUGUAAUCGCGAUUCAUCAUAUCGCGCUGAAUACGUCCCUGCCCUUUGUACACACCGCCCGUCGCUCCUACCGAUUGAGCGAUCCGGUGAAUUAUUUGGAGUGUCCACGCAAGCCAAUCCGUUUACGUGGGUGCGAAAUUUUGUAAACCUUAUCGCUUAGAGGAAGGAAAAGUCGUAACA